rnacentral:rRNA from 1 species
UUGUCUCUCCAUCGGAUAACCGUGGGAAUCUAGAGCUAAUACAUGCAGUUAAUUGAUGGCCGAGUGGUGACUCUUGGCAUUUAUCAUACAAAACCAUCUACUAACUUGCCGGUGAGGGGGAAUCUCAAGUACUUUGCUGAGAAUGUGGCCCUGUGCCGGCUUGCUUACCGUUGGGUUUCGGCCCUAUCACCUUGUUGGUGAGGUUCUGCCUUACCAAGGUGGCAGCGGGAAACAGGGAAUCCUGGUUCGAUUCCGGAGAGGGAGACUGAGGGUUCGAUUCCAGAUACGGAGACGGAGACAUGCCCGCAAAUUACCCGGUCGGCACCAGGCGAGGUGGUUAACAGAACUACUAAAUGGUGAGUGGUUAAGUUACCUACUUGAAGUGAACGUAACUUAAGAAAUUCGAUGAGAAACAACUGGAGGGCAAGUCCUGGUGCCAGCAGCCGCGGUAAUUCCAGCUCCAGUAGUCUGAUUUAAAGUUGUUGCGUUUAAAACGCUCGUAGUUGGAUCACGAAGCAGUACCGAGUCGUCUUCUCGCAGAAUUUCUAGGAUGGUGUUCGUUUCGUGCGACCCUGAUUAGGAAGGAUGCGAUUAGAUAACAUGCUCAGUGCUGCUAGUUGCACGUGAGAUGGAGUGUUGGCCUUUAAUGAGCCGGUAUUCCCGUCUUGCGGAGUGUGCCUUGAAUAAAACAGAGUGCUUAAAGCAGGUUUUUGCCUGAAUGUUAUAGCAUGGAACGAACAAUCGUGUAUAUGCACGUAUUUUCGACGCCUGUAGGUUUUUGACCCGCCGUAUUAGAAUUUGCGUGCGGCACCCACCAAAAUAUGGCUGUUGGUUCCAUAUACGGUGAUGAUUAAAAGGAGCGGUUGGAGGCAUCGGUAUUUGGCCGCGAGAGGUGAAAUUCUUAGACCGGCCAAGGACUAACAAAUGCAAAGGCACUUGUCUAGACCGUUUCCAUUAAUCAAGAACGAAAGUGGGAGGUUCGAAGACGAUCAGAUACCGUCCUAGUUCCCACUGUAAACUAUGCCGACCUGGGAUCAGUCCAGAGAUGUUGCAAGCUCUAGAUUGGUCCCCCUGGGAAACCUUAAGUUUUUCGGUUACGGGGAGAGUAUGGUCGCAAGGCUGAAACUUAAAGGAAUUGACGGAAGGGCACCACCAGGGGUGGAGCCUGCGGCUUAAUUUGACUCAACACGGGGAAACUUACCUGGUCCGGACUAUACUAUGGGAUAAACAGACUAAUAGCAUCUUUUUUGAUGUAGUAUC